rnacentral:rRNA from 1 species
GAUGAACGCUGGCGGCGUGCCUAAUACAUGCAAGUCGAGCGAACAGAUGAGGAGCUUGCUCCUCUGACGUUAGCGGCGGACGGGUGAGUAACACGUGGAUAACCUACCUAUAAGACUGGGAUAACUUCGGGAAACCGGAGCUAAUACCGGAUAAUAUAUUGAACCGCAUGGUUCAAUAGUGAAAGACGGUUUUGCUGUCACUUAUAGAUGGAUCCGCGCCGCAUUAGCUAGUUGGUAAGGUAACGGCUUACCAAGGCAACGAUGCGUAGCCGACCUGAGAGGGUGAUCGGCCACACUGGAACUGAGACACGGUCCAGACUCCUACGGGAGGCAGCAGUAGGGAAUCUUCCGCAAUGGGCGAAAGCCUGACGGAGCAACGCCGCGUGAGUGAUGAAGGCCUUCGGAUCGUAAAACUCUGUUAUUAGGGAAGAACAAAUGUGUAAGUAACUAUGCACGUCUUGACGGUACCUAAUCAGAAAGCCACGGCUAACUACGUA